UACGUAGGGUGCGAGCGUUGUCCGGAAUUACUGGGCGUAAAGCGUGCGCAGGCGGUUCGCUAAGACCGAUGUGAAAUCCCCGGGCUUAACCUGGGAACUGCAUUGGUGACUGGCGGGCUAGAGUAUGGCAGAGGGGGGGUAGAAUUCCACGUGUAGCAGUGAAAUGCGUAGAGAUGUGGAGGAAUACCGAUGGCGAAGGCAGCCCCCUGGGCCAAUACUGACGCUCAUGCACGAAAGCGUGGGGAGCAAACAGG
rnacentral:rRNA from 1 species